rnacentral:lncRNA from 1 species
GCCCACAAGCCAGGCCAGGAGCCCAGGCAGCCAAGUCAGAGGAGCCAGGACCUCCUCAGCAGCUUCAGCAAGCCUGCUUCUUCCAGCAGCACUGUGCAGAAAAUGGUGACCAUGCUUAUUUUUGUGUCUGUUGUGAAUGAGAAGUACUGCAUCAAAAGAAACACAAAUGGCACCUGUCCAUUCCCAGGGGAGUGGUUGAAGACUCCCGAUAAUUCCAGUAUUGCAAACAUAUUUGAGACAAGCCACAAAAAUGUUGCUUCAAGGUCAGGACUACUGCUGGAGCGAGUGACUGCUUCCUAUUUUGGAAACUUCAUGACAUUUCAUGAAAGGGCAAAAAGAAGGCUCUAAUGGUCUUGUUUCCAGUGCCUGCCAGUGCCUGUGAGUGCAGUUCAGGCCCUCUGUAUUUGGGAUGUUUAAAAUAUAACCAGGAAGAAAUGAUCUUUCUGUGUGGCCUAGAAGUGGUUGCUCUAGAGUCUUUUGGUGGGUUUUGAGGUGGAAAAACUCACUGUCAAAAUGGAAGGAUUAUUUCUCUUUCUCCCUGUAGGGGCUUCACUAUGGCUGAAACCUGGAGGGACACAUUUUGAUCACUGGCUACUCAAAGUGAGAAAUUCGCAGGAUUGCACUCAGUAAAAAUGCCCCAGUUCUCCAAGGUGUGGAGCAAUCAUUUCUCCCUUCGCUGCUGGCAAAUCUGCAGCUGCUCUAUGCCUAUAUGAAGCAUGUUCAUUCUGUGCAUGUCCCCUUAGCAGCUGGCUUGUGAGUAUUCAUUAAAAAAAACACUUAAACUUGUAAAAAGAAUGACAAGGUGAUUUUGUUAAAGGAAACCCUCUCUUUUACUUCCCCCCCCCCCCCCUCACUCUCCCCUUAAGUGUAACAGUUGCAUAGAGGUGUCUGGCUUGCAUCUUAGUGUGUUGAUGCAUGGAUCCUCCACUGAAAAAGACCCAUCCUUGCAAUCAGAGAGGGACUUUGGCUUAGCACAGAUACAGCCCCACACUUUCCCUAAAAGAGUCCAUAAGCACCACAAGGCAUUGUGUGGUCUAUCAGCUUGU